rnacentral:rRNA from 1 species
AUUGAACGCUGGCGGCAUGCUUUACACAUGCAAGUCGAACGGCAGCGCGGGCUUCGGCCUGGCGGCGAGUGGCGAACGGGUGAGUAAUGCAUCGGAACGUGCCCAGUAGUGGGGGAUAGCCCGGCGAAAGCCGGAUUAAUACCGCAUACGACCUGAGGGUGAAAGCGGGGGACCGAAAGGCCUCGCGCUAUUGGAGCGGCCGAUGUCGGAUUAGCUAGUUGGUGGGGUAAAGGCUUACCAAGGCGACGAUCCGUAGCUGGUCUGAGAGGACGGCCAGCCACACUGGGACUGAGACACGGCCCAGACUCCUACGGGAGGCAGCAGUGGGGAAUGUUGGACAAUGGGGGCAACCCUGGUCCAGCCAUGCCGCGUGCGGGAAGAAGGCCUUCGGGUUGUGAACCGCUUUUGUUCGGGAAGAAAUCCUCUGGGCUAAUACCCCGGGGGGAUGACGGUACCGGAAGAAUAAGCACCGGCUAACUACGUG